UGUUGCAUGUGGGAAUCGAACUCACAGUGUUCCGCUUACCGGGGAGAUGCCAUGUCCACUAGGCUACCC